GGCGCAGGCCACGCAGCCGCGGACGGGUUCGCCCGUUCGAGGAAAGUCCGGACACCACAGAGCAGGGUGGUCGGGGAGCCGACCCGGGGAAACCCGCGGGAAAGUGCCACAGAAACACACCGCCGAUGGCGGGCAGGGUCCGCCCCGUCCGCACAGGCAAGGUUGAAAUGGUGCGGUAAGAGCGCACCGGCGUCGCGGCGACGCGGCGGCCAGGUAAACCCCACCCGGUGCAAGACCGAGCAGGACCGUCCGUAGGCGGCUCGUCGAGGUCCAGGUAGGUCGCAUCAGAUGGAUGGCUGCGCAACGACAGAAUCCGGCUUACCGGCCUGCUACGGGA
rnacentral:RNase_P_RNA from 1 species